rnacentral:rRNA from 1 species
UACGAAGGGGGCUAGCGUUGCUCGGAAUCACUGGGCGUAAAGGGUGCGUAGGCGGGUCUUUAAGUCAGGGGUGAAAUCCUGGAGCUCAACUCCAGAACUGCCUUUGAUACUGAGGAUCUUGAGUUCGGGAGAGGUGAGUGGAACUGCGAGUGUAGAGGUGAAAUUCGUAGAUAUUCGCAAGAACACCAGUGGCGAAGGCGGCUCACUGGCCCGAUACUGACGCUGAUGUGCGAAAGCGUGGGGAGCAAACAGG